UGGGGAAUCUUGCGCAAUGGGCGAAAGCCUGACGCAGCAACGCCGCGUGGAGGAAGAAGGCCUUCGGGUUGUAAACUCCUGUCAGGGGGAAAGAAGGCACCUGGGUGAAUAGCCCAAGGGCUGACGGUACCCCCAGAGGAAGCCACGGCUAACUACGUGCCAGCAGCCGCGGUAAUACGUAGGUGGCGAGCGUUGUCCGGAAUUAUUGGGCGUAAAGAGCGCGUAGGCGGCUUGCCAGGUCCGACGUGAAACCCCGGGGCUCAACUCCGGACGUGCAUCGGAAACCGGCUUGCUAGAGUCUGGGAGAGGGGAGUGGAAUUCCUGGUGUAGCGGUGAAAUGCGCAGAUAUCAGGAGGAACACCGGUAGCGAAGGCUGCUCCCUGGAACAGUACUGACGCUGAGGCGCGAAAGCUAGGGGAGCGAACA
rnacentral:rRNA from 1 species